rnacentral:misc_RNA from 1 species
CGUCGAACAAGAGUAUGAAGUAGUUGGUAGCAAGUGAGAGCCUGCAAAUCCUUUUCCCCAGGAUAAGACAAAAGCGUUGUCACUGAGAUGCGAACAAUAGUGUCAAGCACAAGUUUUCCCUGAUUAUGUUCUCCAAAAAAGCUGAGCAAGGCUUUUCUGGAGUGCAAUUGCCGAAACUGAUAUUCAUGAUCAUGACCUGAAUUGAAAUUACGGUCCCUAAAUUCUUCUGGCAUGAGAUAUGUACGAGACCAUCUGGCAAGAAACCAUAUAACAGCCUCCAUUAGACGAGGACUGAAAACUGAAGCUCUCACUUCUGGAUCUAAACUCUGCUCAGCAAACUUUAUAAUUGAGAUUGAGAGCACAACAACUGGAUGUUUGUCUGCCUCCAGAAUGUCCACAAAAUGAGUUUGUAUGGUAUUCGGAAUCAAGGGUGUUUCUCCCUCCCCUUCAUCUGCAAGUACAUGCCCAGUUAUCAAUAAUAAUGAGUAAAGUUCCUCCAAAGUUGGCGUUGGAUCAAUGAUGCCCCUGCCCUGAUGAAUCCGUGCAACAAGCUCAGAAAAGAGUCUUGUGAGUAAUAGAGUUGCGACAUCAACUGCUGCUCUUGCUAUAAGAGCAUAAGAACUUAACCUUUCAUCCAUGGCAGAGAUGGAAGCCUGAAGGUAGUCAGAUUCAUCUUCAUCAUUCAUUGC